ACAUCGGCUCAUCCUCUUCAACCUCGGACGUGCCGGAUGAGCCAGCCCGGUAAUUCGGCGGAAACACUCUAAACAAGUUAACCGCAAACAUCUUGCAUGUGGCUGAGAUCAUAGGCUCCGUGAACCUGGCGGAGCCAGUGUUCACGAAUUCGGUGAGAUCGAUCAACGACUGCCGCUUCAUAUCCUUCUCCGCUGAGUUCUUG
rnacentral:misc_RNA from 1 species